UUUACAGAUGAGGAAACCUCGUCAUAAACAGACAAGCAGCUUGCCCAAGGGCACACAGUUUGAGAUCCUUCUUGCUGUACCUCCAUUGUGCUUGGUAUUUCAAAAAUCUAUGCCCGGCAACCUCUGCUACUAAAUACCUGGACAAAGAGCAGUGAAUCACAUGCUAAGAAGCCAUUAGGGUGGGGGCAGCUGGAUACAGAGCCCGGAGGUUUGAGCCAGUGCCGGCUUGUCACCCUCCUUCUCUGUUUACCCUGCUGCGGCGGCAGCCAAAGUGCAGCCUGGUGCUGAAGUCACCAGCCAGGGAGGGCCUCUCGUGCCCCGUCUCACUGCACCAUGUGCUCUGGGUACCUCUGCUUUAGAGCCCUGGCCUGUGCUUGGAGGCAAGAAGAAAAAUUAGCUUAACCUAAGAUGGCUUGACACUUGAACACGGGGCAGAUUGUGUAAGUGCCCCAGGUCUGCAUUCCUGUCUGUGUCACUACCCUCUGCCAUGGGACUUCGCAGUUCUUCCUAUCAAGAGAUGAUCCACUGAUUCGACUGGGGCAACUGCUCUGGAUGUUGGUAGAUGGGAUGCCAGCAGUGGCUUGGAAGCGUGCUUGCAUCACUGGACUUCUUCUCUUGCCCCUUUACUGUUUCCAUGAGAAGAGCACGCCUGGGCUGGCCCAGGGCCCUAGGAUGGGAAUAAGAUACAUGAGGCAGAGCUGCCCCCAGGAAGCUGCCCAGCCCAGCCCAGCUGAGAACAGAACCAUCCAGCUGACCCAGAGAUGCAUGAACAAACCCAGCCACGAUCGAUCGGCAGGUCUGCCUAGCCAACCUUCACCCGAACUGCCGGUGCAGGAGCUGGAGUAGGAAGUGAUUACUGUGUUAAGCCUCUGAAUUUUGAGGUGGUUUGCUCCCCAGCAAUUGCGUUGAGGUCAUGGCCUCUGAGACUAAUAUGAUGACGAUAUGAGCAACGAGAAACAAAAGCACUUUGCAAAUGUCAAAUUGUGAGGAGAGGGAAUAGACUGUUGAACACAUUCUGGACCUGGAACCUGAAGACCUGAGUUCAAAGCCACUCAUGCCCCCAAUUACUCUACACACCUGGGCAGAUAAUUUAAAAUUUCUGGGUCUUACUGUAAACUUACAGAGCUGGCUUGCAAUCUCAAAGCCAUGAGAGCUUCGAGAGUAUGUCAGAAAAUUAAUAUGGUCCUAGAACUUCAUUGGUAGAGAGUUAAGAAAAAGACAGGGAAGGUGGGAGAGAGGUCAGAGAAUAAUUUAUUUGGGUAUAAAUGAAAUGUGAUACCCCAAAAAGGGACAGAUGUAUGGAGUGGGGAAUUGGAUGAUUUUGAAGAAUAUGUUUGAUCAAAGGCUGAGAGGUAGACUUGGAGGCCAGAUAUAAAGUCCCAUUUCUUCAGAGACCUGGAAGUGUGGGAUUCAUGAAUGAAUAGGAAGGAGAAAACCUUGAAAAUGGCUUACAGAAGACACCUUCCCGACAUCUCUUCACUUGGAGUACAGCAAAGCUGGAGACAAUUAUGAAGUCUUUGGUCAGGUGGAGAGAUAAUAGUCCAGACUGGCCGUUCCAUACACCUGUCUGGCUCUCUCUGAGCUACCUUUGACUUUUCUUGAUUGUGUAUUACCUGGCCUUGGACAAGUCGCCCAUCCUGUGGAUGAGUGGAUGAAACACGGUUCAUCUAUUCAUUAUGUAUCGGUUACAUGCCACGUUCCAGGAACUAUCUGGACCCUGGGGAUGAAACUGUCUUCAGACCUGGUUCCCGAGCUGGCUACCAACUCAGGAUAUUGGAAAUAACCUAAAUGACCAUCACUGGGAACAGUUAAAUAAAUUAUGGUGCCUCCUUAGGAUGAAAUAGCAUGCAACUAUGAAGAAGAAAGGAAAGAAGGAAGAGAAGAAGAGGAAGAGGCUCCUCAUGCAUUCACAUGGAGCAUUUCCAAGGUGUCCUGUUCAAUGAAGAUGGUAGGAUAAUGCCCAGGGGAGAAAGGGAGUCCCUGGGAUUCCAGGAGGAGGUCACUAUGACUUACUGGAUCAGAGGCAGUGUAUGACAUUGCUGUUGUGCAAGUACAUGGGGGCCGAAGAGCCUCGUCCAGUUGUGUCUCUGGCUGUUUGUCUGCAGACGGUUCCAGACUGAAAACUGGUGUGAAAUAUGCUUCCCACACAUUCAGAGCUGCACCCAGCCUGCCUCUGUGCUCACGGAGAAAUCACAAAUGGAAGUCCUCUUCCUGAAAGCAAAUGCUAAAGGGUACAAGUGGUUCUUAAAAGUAAUUUUUCUAGUAUCGAUCAGAACUUCAGUUGAUGUUUUCAUUUUAAAAAGGGGGUUGCUAAAAUAAUAACAGGGUGGCUAUUUUCAGGUCUUUAAAAGUAUUAAAUAGGUUGUGGGUGCUAUCAUGUGAAGAGGUCUAUGCUCUAUUGCUAAGUGGUAAGAGCAAGUCUCCUGGCAGCAGCAUUACUGCUUCGGCUGGAAGCAUCACAUAUAGGUUAGGUAUGGAGUCGGGGAGGCUACCCUCCAGCUGGGGUACAGGACACGUGGGAAGGAGGGUGCAGAAUGGGAAUGUCACUCUUUGCUUUUGAAUUGUUGUGGUAUUUGACGAGCAGGUUAAUGCGUAUAAAGAAGAAAUUCUUAUGGCAUUUAGUGUAUUCCAGAAAAGAACAGCCCCACAGUACCUUCCUCAGGCUCAAGCCCAUGAUAAGAAAAUAAGACGAAAAUGCUAGUUAGGGAAGUAGAGGCAGGGAGGCGAUAGUAAAAGUCUUCCUUGAUUCCACAAACUGCUUCUCCAGGCUUAACUCCCCAGCAGAAUCUAGUCUGGUUAAGAGCUUGGAUUUGUCUCGUUGGGCAAGUUUCUUAUGUCUCUAGGCCUCAGUUUCCUCAGCUGUAACAUGAGGCAGCUGUGGUAAAAUGAACUAAGGUAUAGAAAGCACCACUUUGCAGAUGGUGGCCACCACCUCGGAGGCCUUCCGUAAUUACUGGCUAUUAUUACCAUUGUCUACCUGACAUUUCCAAACACUUAGCCUUGCCCUUGUACUUUUCCUUGACCCUUUAAUUAUUUAUUGGCUUGACCCCCUACUAGAAUGUGCAACCCUUAGAAGCAGGUUUGUAAGUUCUUUUAAUUGUUUUUCUUCUUUGCUGACAAAAAUAAUACAUUCUUUUUUAAAAAAUAUAUAU